UGGGAGAACAAAGAUAGCGUCCAUUGCUCUAAUAAUUGUACCACGCAACAUAACUUGGGACUCCAUUUACCUUGGAAAUUUCUGAUUACACAAGGUGAAUGAUAAGAAGAUACUUAUGUCAGAAGCCCUCACCACUUAACAGAGAAAGCUGAAAACAACAACAAUAACGAACAGAAUCUCAGAAUUGGAAGGACCAUUUGGGGCCAACCCACACCUGAACAGGAGUUUCCAUCUUCCGCAUCACCAACAAAUGACCAUCCAGCCUCGACUUCAAAGGUGAGGAAUAUAAUUAUCUCUGAAGGUUGCCCGUUUCACUUUGGGACUAUUCUAAAUAGUAU
rnacentral:lncRNA from 1 species